rnacentral:rRNA from 1 species
GACGAACGCUGGCGGCGUGCUUAACACAUGCAAGUCGAACGGAAAGGCCCUGCUUUUGUGGGGUGCUCGAGUGGCGAACGGGUGAGUAACACGUGAGUAACCUGCCCUUGACUUUGGGAUAACUUCAGGAAACUGGGGCUAAUACCGGAUAGGAGCUCCUGCUGCAUGGUGGGGGUUGGAAAGUUUCGGCGGUUGGGGAUGGACUCGCGGCUUAUCAGCUUGUUGGUGGGGUAGUGGCUUACCAAGGCUUUGACGGGUAGCCGGCCUGAGAGGGUGACCGGCCACAUUGGGACUGAGAUACGGCCCAGACUCCUACGGGAGGCAGCAGUGGAGAAUAUUGCACAAUGGGCGGAAGCCUGAUGCAGCAACGCCGCGUGCGGGAUGACGGCCUUCGGGUUGUAAACCGCUUCCGCCUGUGACGAAGCGUGAGUGACGGUAAUGGGUAAAGAAGCACCGGCUAACUACGUG